ACAACGACUCCCCCAUUCUUUUCUAUAUAAACUUUUCCACCUUAUCAGAUUCCAACUACCUCCUUCCCCUUUAUUCUUCUUUCUCACCUAUCUACCUUUCUCCUUUCUCCCCACUCCACUCCACUCCAGAUCUGCUCAGAUACCAGAUUCCCAGGUCAAAGAGGAAGAUGGGUCACCACCACCACCACCACCACCAUGGCCCCGGCGGUCCUCACGAUGAUCCUUUCCUGGCGUGUUGCUGUUGCCCGUGCAUGAUGGUGUCGUCUUUGUUCUCUGUCUUCCAGAGGUGCCUCAUGUUUGUGUGCUAUCCUUUUCUGAGCUGCUUAGGUUGUGUUGAGCAUGGGCAUCCCCACCACCACCAUCAUCACAGGCAUUUCUAGUAGUAGUAGUAGUUUCCACUGUGUUUCUUUCAGAGUUUCAGUCUUGAACUUUAUGUAUUAACCUGUUGUGGACAUUUGAUUGUGUUGAACUCUGCAUAUUGUCAGUCUUGGAUGGAUGGCAGACCCCCAAGUUGUGGUUUUUUUUGUUGGAAAGAUUGAAACUUGGUGGGGUCAGUCAUCUUUGUGUAAUGUGGUUUUGUGACUCUACUGUUAUCUGAGGUUAUGAAAUGGGAGACAAUUAUAAAAUGCCAUCAUGUUUUUUUUUUU